AUUAUUCAUUCAGUAAGUGCUUACUGAAUGAAUGAUUGAACCAUAAUAUAUAUUUUUUCUUUUGGAAAAAUCUCUUCUACCAGCAAAUAAGUAUUACCUAAAUGAGCUUUCAGACUUAACCUAUUGGGAAGUCUGGGGGGAGAAUAUGAAAUUUUCAUUUCCACCAGUAGAUGGCAGAAGGAAGAAAAGAUACCUCUGAAUGGGCAGGAGUUCUCAUCCUGAGCAGAAGGAUAAAUACUGAGCAGGGACUGAGACGUGGUGGCUGAUCACAAGGGCUCUUGAUGUCAUGUGUGGCCCACAGUGACGAAAGGGGGCCAGAGUGCAUAUGAGAACUCCCCACAGGUACUAUGUCAGUCAUCACUUUACGGCCUCUUAGCUCUGAAUGCACACCCUUCAGUACCUGCUCUGUGAUGAUGGACUAGACUACCUUUGUGUGGAGGGCUGACUUUCAGUAGAUUGCAGCAAUGAAGCUUCUCUGCGUAUGGAACCUUGACCCAGAAGCAGGUCUUCUAGGAACGGAUUAGCACCAGAUUCUUCACGAACGUGGGAGGGGGCAGCCCCUUUUGUGGCUGAGCCCCAUUUCCCUGGACUAGGGGCUCUUCACACCUUGGCUGCUAGAAAAUUUAACUUUAAUAUGUGGCUUGCAUUUGUCACUUGAAUGGUAGAUCUGUUGGAUAAGGCUGGUCUAGUCCAACUUCCUCCUUAAACACAAGAAGACAGAGGUCCCGAGAGAAGGUGUCACUUAGCAAAUGGUACACACGAAAAUACACUGUCAUUUCCACCAGGCUCUCAGUUGCCCCUUCCCCUGCCCCCACACCCUGUGAGUCUGGGGAGAGGAGUGGGUGGCCCUUGCAGCCCCCUGGGCUGCAGGCCUCAAGGAAAAUGUUCCAAGACUCAAGACAUUGGCUGUGGAUUCUUGGGAGUGAAAUUAAA